UUAUAUGAUCAAGUAAUUAAGCG
rnacentral:rRNA from 1 species